GAUCAAGAGACUAAGGGCACACGGUGGAUGCCUUGGCGCCAAGAGCCGAAGAAGGACGUGGGCGGCUGCGAAAAGCCCGGAGUAGGUGCUGACCAACCUUUGAUCCCGGGAUGUCCGAAUGGGGAAACCUGCGCGUGGUAAUGCGCGCGUACCGAUGCCUGAAUACAUAGGGCAUGCGGAGGCAAGCCGGUGAACUGAAACAUCUUAGUAACCGGAGGAAAGGAAAGAAACCUCGAUUCCCUGAGUAGUGGCGAGCGAAAAGGGAACAGCCCAAACCUGUGUGAUGUCAAGACGGCAGUCGUUGUCACAUGGGUGUUGUAGGGCCUGUCUUGAUCCGUCUGCCGGCGGGUCGGGAAGUUACAAAGUCGUGCGUUAGCCGAAGUGACUGGAACGUCACGCCAUAGAGGGCAAUGGCCCCGUAGGCGAAAACGCAUGGCCUUCCUGGACAGGUUCCUGAGUACGGCCGGGCACGGGAAACCCGGUCGGAACCCGCGGGGACCACUCCGCAAGGCUAAAUACUCCUUGGCGACCGAUAGUGAACUAGUACCGUGAGGGAAAGGUGAAAAGUACCCCGGAAGGGGAGUGAAAUAGCACCUGAAACCGUGUGCUUACAAGCGGUCGGAGCGGAGCAAUCCGUGACGGCGUGCCUUUUGCAUAAUGAGCCAGCGAGUUACUCUUCAACGGCAAGGUUAAGGAAACGGAGCCGUAGCGAAAGCGAGUCUGAAUAGGGCGAUUUAGUCGUUGGAGGUAGACCCGAAACUGAGUGAUCUACCCAUGGGCAGGUUGAAGCGGGGGUAAGACCCCGUGGAGGACCGAACCGACUUGGGUUGAAAACCGAGCGGAUGACCUGUGGGUCGGAGUGAAAGGCUAAUCAAACUCAGAGAUAUCUGGUUCUCCCCGAAAUAUAUUUAGGUAUAGCGUCACGCGUUCAAUUUCAGUUGUAGAGCACUGUUUGGGCUAGGGGGCCUACCAGCUUACCGACCUCAGGCAAACUCCGAAUGCUGAAAUUCCAGAGCGUGGCAGUCAGAGUGCGGGGGAUAAGCUUCGUGCUCGAAAGGGAAACAGCCCAGACCGUCGGCUAAGGUCCCUAAUUCCUAGCUAAGUGGGAAACGAUGUCUGAUUGCCGAGACAACCAGGAUGUUG
rfam:Acidobacteria bacterium 13_2_20CM_56_17 13_2_20cm_scaffold_248588, whole genome shotgun sequence.